rnacentral:rRNA from 2 species
CAUGCAGUCGAACGAGUUCUCGUUGAUGAUCGGUGCUUGAGAGAUUCAACAUCGAACGAGUGGCGGACGGGUGAGUAACACGUGGGUAACCUGCCCUUAAGUGGGGGAUAACAUUUGGAAACAGAUGCUAAUACCGCAUAGAUCCAAGAACCGCAUGGUUCUUGGCUGAAAGAUGGCGUAAGCUAUCGCUUUUGGAUGGACCCGCGGCGUAUUAGCUAGUUGGUGAGGUAAUGGCUCACCGAAGCGAUGAUACGUAGCCGAACUGAGAGGUUGAUCGGCCACAUUGGGACUGAGACACGGCCCAAACUCCUACGGGAGGCAGCAGUAGGGAAUCUUCCACAAUGGACGCAAGUCUGAUGGAGCAACGCCGCGAGAGUGAAGAAGGCUUUCGGGUCGUAAAACUCUGUUGUUGGAGAAGAAUGGUCGGCAGAGUAACUGUUGUCGGCGUGACGGUAUCCAACCAGAAAGCCACGGCUAACUACGUGCCAGCAGCCGCGGUAAUACGUAGGUGGCAAGCGUUAUCCGGAUUUAUUGGGCGUAAAGCGAGCGCAGGCGGUUUUUUAAGUCUGAUGUGAAAGCCCUCGCUUAACCGAGGAAGCGCAUCGGAAACUGGGAAACUUGAGUGGCAGAAGAGGACAGUGGAACUCCAUGUGUAGCGGUAGAAAUGCGUAAAUAUAUGGAAGAACACCAGUGGCGAAGGCGGCUGUCUGGUCUGUAACUGACGCUGAGGCUCGAACACGAUGGUAGCGAACAGGAUUAGAUACCCUGGUAGUCCAUCCCGUAAACGAUGAAUGCUAGGUGUUGAAGGGUUUCCGCCCUUCAGUGCCGCAGCUAACGCAUUAAGCAUUCCGCCUGGGGAGGUACGACCGCAAGGUUGAAACUCAAAGAAUUGACGGGGGCCCGCACAAGCGGUGGAGCAUGUGGUUUAAUUCGAAGCAACGCGAAGAACCUUUCCAGGUCUUGACAUCUUUUGAUCACCUGAGAGAUCAGGUUUCCCCUUCGGGGGCAAAAUGACAGGUGGUGCAUGGUUGUCGUCAGCUCGUGUCGUGAGAUGUUGGGUUAAGUCCCGCAACGAGCGCAACCCUUAUGACUAGUUGCCAGCAUUUAGUUGGGCACUCUAGUAAGACUGCCGGUGACAAACCGGAGGAAGGUGGGGAUGACGUCAAAUCAUCAUGCCCCUUAUGACCUGGGCUACACACGUGCUACAAUGGAUGGUACAACGAGUUGCGAGACCGCGAGGUCAAGCUAAUCUCUUAAAGCCAUUCUCAGUUCGGACUGUAGGCUGCAACUCGCCUACACGAAGUCGGAAUCGCUAGUAAUCGCGGAUCAGCACGCCGCGGUGAAUACGUUCCCGGGCCUUGUACACACCGCCCGUCACACCAUGAGAGUUUGUAACACCCGAAGCCGGUGGCGUAACCCUUUUAGGGAGCGAGCCGUCUAAGGUGGGACAAAUGAUUAGGGUGA